rnacentral:misc_RNA from 1 species
UAGAUCUUCCCCGGGAGGAUAACAAUUUCUGGAACGCGGUAGAUGUCGGGAUAUCCCGACUAGAAAUUUCAGUGAGGCGGUAGUUUGGUCCGAAUGUCAAACUUGCGGCAAGUGAAGAAUCCAAAUCAGGCCGCUUCAUAUCGUAGAACCUACCUAAACUUACCAAAGAAACUGGACAGUUAUUACAUCAGUUAGAAUAUCAGCCUUGAUAUUGUAAGAUGAGAUAAAUAUUUCAUAAAAAAUAACAGAAAAGAGUCUGUUGACAGAGCUGAGGACCUACCAGAGAAUGCAAACAUGGAUUUAUCUGCUUCCUUUUGAAAAAACUCAG